ensembl:misc_RNA Metazoa_SRP Metazoan signal recognition particle RNA
GCCGGGCCUGGUAGCGCAUGCCUGUAGUCCCAGCUACUCAUGAGGCAGAGGUAGAAGAAUCGCUUGAACCCAGGAGGCGGAGGGUGCAGUGAGCCAAGAUCAUGCCACUGCACUCUAGCCUGGGUGAUAGAGCGAGACUCUGUCUCAA